rnacentral:rRNA from 1 species
CCUACGGGAGGCAGCAGUGGGGAAUAUUGCACAAUGGGCGCAAGCCUGAUGCAGCGACGCCGCGUGAGGAAUGACGGCCUUCGGGUUGUAAACCUCUUUCAGCAGGGACGAAGCGCAAGUGACGGUACCUGCAGAAGAAGCACCGGCCAACUACGUGCCAGCAGCCGCGGUAAUACGUAGGGUGCAAGCGUUGUCCGGAAUUACUGGGCGUAAAGAGCUCGUAGGCGGUUUGUCGCGUCGUCUGUGAAAACCAGCAGCUCAACUGUUGGCUUGCAGGCGAUACGGGCAGACUUGAGUAUUUCAGGGGAGACUGGAAUUCCUGGUGUAGCGGUGAAAUGCGCAGAUAUCAGGAGGAGCACCGGUGGCGAAGGCGGGUCUCUGGGAAAUAACUGACGCUGAGGAGCGAAAGCGUGGGUAGCGAACAGGAUUAGAUACCCUGGUAGUCCACGCCGUAAACGGUGGGCGCUAGGUGUGGGUUUCCUUCCACGGGAUCCGUGCCGUAGCUAACGCAUUAGCGCCCGCCUGGGGAGUACGGCCGCAAGGCUAAACGUUCAAAGGAUUGACGG